GUGCCUAAGACAUGCAAGUCGAGCGGGGCUUUGAGGCUUCGGCCUCAAAGUCUAGCGGCGGACGGGUGAGUAACACGUGGAUAACCUGCCCUUUGCUCUGGGAUAACAGGCCGAAAGGCCUGCUAACACCGGAUAAGCUCACGGCCUUGCAUGGGGCUGGGAGAAAAGGCGCUAGAGCGAUUGGCGCUGGCAGAGGAGGGGUCCGCGGCCCAUUAGCUAGUUGGUGAGGUAACGGCUCACCAAGGCGACGAUGGGUAGCCGGCCUGAGAGGGCGACCGGCCACACUGGGACUGAGACACGGCCCAGACUCCUACGGGAGGCAGCAGUCGGGAAUUUUGCACAAUGGCCGAAAGGCUGAUGCAGCAACGCCGCGUGAGCGAGGAAGGCCUUCGGGUUGUAAAGCUCUGUUGCCUGCGAAGAAGGGCCCUGUCAGGAAAUGGGCAGGGUUUGACGGUAGCAGGCGAGGAAGCCCCGGCUAACUACGUGCCAGCAGCCGCGGUAAUACGUAGGGGGCGAGCGUUGUCCGGAAUUACUGGGCGUAAAGGGCGUGUAGGCGGCCUGUUAAGUCAGGGGUGAAACUCCGGGGCUCAACCCCGGGCGUGCCUCUGAAACUGAUGGGCUUGAGUGCUCUAGAGGGCAGUGGAAUUCCCGGUGUAGCAGUGAAAUGCGUAGAGAUCGGGAGGAACACCAGUGGCGAAGGCGGCUGCCUGGGGAGUAACUGACGCUGAGGCGCGAAAGCUAGGGGAGCAAACAGGAUUAGAUACCCUGGUAGUCCUAGCCGUAAACGAUGAGUGCUAUGUGUGAGGGGUAUCGACCCCCCUCGUGCAGUAGUUAACGCAAUAAGCACUCCGCCUGGGGAGUACGGCCGCAAGGCUGAAACUCAAAGGAAUUGACGGGGGCCCGCACAAGCAGCGGAGCAUGUGGUUUAAUUCGAAGCAACGCGUAGAACCUUACCAGGGCUUGACAACCGCCGAAUCCUGCAGAAAUGCGGGAGUGCUCCUUCGGGAGAACGGCGAGACAGGUGGUGCAUGGUUGUCGUCAGCUCGUGUCGUGAGAUGUUGGGUUAAGUCCCGCAACGAGCGCAACCCCUGUCGCAUGUUGCCAGCACGUAAAGGUGGGGACUCAUGCGAGACUGCCGGUGACAAACCGGAGGAAGGUGGGGAUGACGUCAAAUCAUCAUGCCCCUUAUGUCCUGGGCUACACACGUGCUACAAUGGCCGUCACAGAGCGCCCCGAACCCGCGAGGGGGAGGCAAUCGCUGAAAGGCGGUCUCAGUUCGGAUCGCAGGCUGCAACUCGCCUGCGUGAAGUCGGAGUUGCUAGUAAUCGCGGAUCAGCAUGCCGCGGUGAAUGCGUUCCCGGGCCUUGUACACACCGCCCGUCACACCAUGGGAGCUGGCAACACCCGAAGUCGGUGAGGUAACCCCGCAAGGGGAGGCAGCCGCCGAAGGUGGG
rnacentral:rRNA from 1 species